UACGGGGGGGGCAAGCGUUGUUCGGAAUUACUGGGCGUAAAGGGCUCGUAGGCGGCCAACCAAGUCAGACGUGAAAUCCCUCGGCUUAACCGGGGAACUGCGUCUGAUACUGGAUGGCUGGAGGUUGGGAGAGGGAUGCGGAAUUCCAGGUGUAGCGGUGAAAUGCGUAGAUAUCUGGAGGAACACCGGUGGCGAAGGCGGCAUCCUGGACCAAUUCUGACGCUGAGGAGCGAAAGCCAGGGGAGCAAACGGG
rnacentral:rRNA from 1 species